rnacentral:rRNA from 2 species
UGGGGAAUAUUGCACAAUGGGGGAAACCCUGAUGCAGCAACGCCGCGUGAAGGAAGACGGUUUUCGGAUUGUAAACUUCUGUUCUUAGUGAAGAAUAAUGACGGUAGCUAAGGAGCAAGCCACGGCUAACUACGUGCCAGCAGCCGCGGUAAUACGUAGGUGGCAAGCGUUGUCCGGAAUUACUGGGUGUAAAGGGAGCGUAGGCGGGAUGCCAAGUCAGCUGUGAAAACUAUGGGCUUAACCUGUAGACUGCAGUUGAAACUGGUAUUCUUGAGUGAAGUAGAGGUUGGCGGAAUUCCGAGUGUAGCGGUGAAAUGCGUAGAUAUUCGGAGGAACACCGGUGGCGAAGGCGGCCAACUGGGCUUUAACUGACGCUGAGGCUCGAAAGUGUGGGGAGCAAACA